GGUUAUUGUCUAUAAAUAAGAAAGUCACUUCCAAGCCAACCAGAAAUAUGUAUCAAAUUGAUCACAACCAGUAACAGAUUUCUUUGUUCUUUCUCCACUCCCACUGCUUCACUUGACUAGCCUUAA
rnacentral:Y_RNA from 2 species